UGCAAGUCGAGCGGAGACAAAUUGGCGGAAGUUUUCGGAUGGAAGUCGGUAUGUUUUAGCGGCGGACGGGUGAGUAACGCGUGAGCAACCUGUCCCAAACAGGGGGAUAAGAUACCGAAAGGUGUUCUAAUACCGCAUGAGACCACAGUACCACAUGGUAUAGGGGUCAAAGGAGCAAUCCGGUUUGGGGUGGGCUCGCGUCCGAUUAGGUAGUUGGUGAGGUAACGGCCCACCAAGCCGACGAUCGGUAGCCGACCUGAGAGGGUGAUCGGCCACAUUGGGACUGAGACACGGCCCAAACUCCUACGGGAGGCAGCAGUGGGGAAUAUUGGGCAAUGGGCGAAAGCCUGACCCAGCAACGCCGCGUGGAGGAAGAAGGUUUUCGGAUCGUAAACUCCUGUCCUCAGGGAAGAGAAGGAGACGGUACCUGAGGAGGAAGCCCUGGCUAACUACGUGCCAGCAGCCGCGGUAAUACGUAGGGGGCAAGCGUUGUCCGGAAUGAUUGGGCGUAAAGGGCGCGUAGGCGGCCCGGUAAGUCUGAAGUGAAAGUCCUGGCUUCAAGUUGGGAAUUGCUUUGGAUACUGUCGGGCUUGAGUGCAGGAGAGGUUAGUGGAAUUCCCAGUGUAGCGGUGAAAUGCGUAGAGAUUGGGAGGAACACCAGUGGCGAAGGCGACUAACUGGACUGUAACUGACGCUGAGGCGCGAAAGUGUGGGGAGCAAACAGGAUUAGAUACCCUGGUAGUCCACACUGUAAACGAUGAAUGCUAGGUGUAGGGGGUAUCGACCCCUUCUGUGCCGGAGUUAACACAAUAAGCAUUCCGCCUGGG
rnacentral:rRNA from 1 species